GCCCCAUUGGCCUAAUGGUUAAGGCGUCUGACUUCUAAUCAGAAGACUACGGGUUCGACUCCCGUAUGGGGUU
rnacentral:tRNA from 1 species